rnacentral:lncRNA from 1 species
AGCUAAAGCAAAGCAGCCAGGCAGGAGAGGUGGAGAGCAUGACAUCGGCAGGACCACCUGGUCACGUGAUCUCUCUCUAAAGCUCACAAGUCCAGCAAACUGAAAAGAAGGCACUGGGCUGUUAAACAGGCACCAGGUGCUGAGCACUUCCCACUGGUGCUGGUGUCACACUGAAUCUAGCCGUGUUCAGCUGCUCAUCACAAUGAAGCUUCUUCAGUGAGAACAUAAAAAAAGGAUGCUUACUGAUGACACAUACGAGGCUCAUGCUUUCCAUGGCAAGCU